rnacentral:rRNA from 1 species
GAGUGAAAGGCUACGGCUCAACCGUAGUAAGCUCUUGAAACUGGGAGACUUGAGUGCAGGAGAGGAGAGUGGAAUUCCUAGUGUAGCGGUGAAAUGCGGAGAUAUUAGGAGGAACACCAGUUGCGAAGGCGGCUCUCUGGACUGUAACUGACGCUGAGGCACGAAAGCGUGGGGAGCAAACAGGAUUAGAUACCCUGGUAGUCCACGCUGUAAA